rnacentral:rRNA from 1 species
AAGGAGGUGAUCCAGCCGCACCUUCCGAUACGGCUACCUUGUUACGACUUCACCCCAAUCAUUUGUCCCACCUUCGACGGCUAGCUCCAUAAAUGGUUACUCCACCGGCUUCGGGUGUUACAAACUCUCGUGGUGUGACGGGCGGUGUGUACAAGACCCGGGAACGUAUUCACCGUAGCAUGCUGAUCUACGAUUACUAGCGAUUCCAGCUUCAUGUAGUCGAGUUGCAGACUACAAUCCGAACUGAGAACAACUUUAUGGGAUUUGCAUGACCUCGCGGUUUAGCUGCCCUUUGUAUUGUCCAUUGUAGCACGUGUGUAGCCCAAAUCAUAAGGGGCAUGAUGAUUUGACGUCAUCCCCACCUUCCUCCGGUUUGUCACCGGCAGUCAACUUAGAGUGCCCAACUGAAUGCUGGCAACUAAGUUUAAGGGUUGCGCUCGUUGCGGGACUUAACCCAACAUCUCACGACACGAGCUGACGACAACCAUGCACCACCUGUCACUUUGUCCCCCGAAGGGGAAGGCUCUAUCUCUAGAGUUGUCAAAGGAUGUCAAGAUUUGGUAAGGUUCUUCGCGUUGCUUCGAAUUAAACCACAUGCUCCACCGCUUGUGCGGGUCCCCGUCAAUU